rnacentral:misc_RNA from 1 species
AAGGAUCAUUAUCGAUUACUACCGAUGCCUCGGCAAAGGGAAUUUCGACAAAAUCUCGGGCUUCGUUGCCUUGGGACAUCGGCCUGUCUGCCGUUGUCCGACAAGCCGUUGUCUGGGACCUUGCGGCUACCUGGCUGCUUGGGCCUGGCCGGCUGCCUGGUUGGAGGUGCUGUGCGCCGUUGUCGUCUCCGGAUGAAAGGCGGUAAUUCAGCUGUAAAAGAGCCUCGCCUCCAGCUCAGGUUCUGUGCUCCCCCCACGUUGGGCUUGUGGAAAACGGUACAUACCAAACGUUGAAAAACUGGCCUCAGCGCCGGAAACCACUAAAACAACACUAUACAGUGGAUCAUUUGGCUCGGGGGUCGAUGAAGAACGGAGCUAACUCCGUGACGCAAUGUGAACUGCAGGACACAUGAACAUCGACACUUUGAACGCAUAUUGCGGGCGUGUGCUUGUUGCACGCCCAUGUUUGGGUCAGGGUCGGUUGAAACAUCCAUCGGAGAUCGCUUGCGGUCCCCGCUCUGGGCCGUCCUGUCGGCUUCGGCUGGCGGGUGGCCCCAAGGUGACUUGUGCAGUGCUCUGCCAAAGACUCUUGGGUCGUAAAAAGCCUGGGUCUGGGUGGGACAAGCCUGCACGAGAGAUCUACCCGGAGGCCCUGUGCCUGCCGGGUUGCAACCUAACU